AGACGCUAUGGGUGGCUGGGGGCAUGUGCCCUGGGUGACGCUUUAGAAGGGGUGCCACUGGGUAUGUGGAUGGAGAACAUCUCCCUUGGGGGAACAGCUCUCCUA